rnacentral:rRNA from 1 species
UACGUAGGGGGCAAGCGUUAUCCGGAUUUACUGGGUGUAAAGGGAGCGUAGACGGCGAUGCAAGCCAGAUGUGAAAGCCCGGGGCUCAACCCCGGGACUGCAUUUGGAACUGUAUAGCUAGAGUGUCGGAGAGGCAGGCGGAAUUCCUAGUGUAGCGGUGAAAUGCGUAGAUAUUAGGAGGAACACCAGUGGCGAAGGCGGCCUGCUGGACGAUGACUGACGUUGAGGCUCGAAAGCAUGGGGAGCAAACAGG